UUAAUCGGCAUNACUGGGAGUAAAGCGUACGACGGCGGUUUGUUAAGCGAGAUGUGAAAGCCCCGGGCUUAACCUGGGAACUGCAUUUCGAACUGGCAGGCUAGAGUGUGAUAGAGGGUGGUAGAAUUUCAGGUGUAGCGGUGAAAUGCGUAGAGAUCUGAAGGAAUACCGAUGGCGAAGGCAGCCACCUGGGUCAACACUGACGCUCAUGUACGAAAGCGUGGGGAGCAAACAGGAUUAGAUACCCUGGUAGUCCACGCCGUAAACGAUGUCUACUAGGAGCUCGGCUUUUCGGAGCUGUUUUCCAAAGCAAACGCAUUAAGUAGACCGCCUGGGGAGUACGGCCGCAAGGUUAAAACUCAAAUGAAUUGACGGGGGCCCGCACAAGCGGUGGAGCAUGUGGUUUAAUUCGAUGCAACGCGAAAAACCUUACCUACACUUGACAUCCAGAGAACUUUCUAGAGAUAGAUUGGUGCCUUCGGGAACUCUGAGACAGGUGCUGCAUGGCUGUCGUCAGCUCGUGUGGUGAAAUGUUGGGUUAAGUCCCGCAACGAGCGCGCCCCCUAUCCUUAGNUGCCACCGAUUCGGUCGGGAACUCU
rnacentral:rRNA from 1 species